CCAUAUUCCUAUUAUUAUUAUUAUUAUUAUUAUUAUUAUUAUUAUUAUUAUUAUUAUUAUUAUUAUUAUUAUUAUUAUUAUUAUUAUUGGCUUCUCAAUCUUUGCAAGCCACCCAGUGACACCAAGAGUGAAUUGGGCAGCCAUUCUAAGUUUUCAUAAAUAAAUAAACAAAUUAAAUACAUGAGAGAAUUAUUGCAGGCCACUCAUUUUGGGAGGAACAAGGGACAAACUUGCAACGGGAACAUCCUCAUUUGUUCUGCAAAAACAGCUGACAUUUGAAAGGGCUACGUGCCAGGCUCUCAACACAAUUGCUUAAGAAAGCAUAUUGAAGAGAGCAGCGGGGAGGGGAAAUCGUUCACCAUCUGCCCGUAAGGAAACAACUCCAUUCGCUUUUCGAAAUGCUGAAAAGCCUGUGCCCGUUAUCCAAGACUACUAUCUCGGAAGAAUAACUUUCCAUGUCCGAACACUGGAAAAAUGUUCCGAGUUUUCCCCUUUGCAAUCUGGAUUAGGCGGAGCCCCGUUUUUCCUCUCCUGGGUUAGAUAAGCUAUGUACAGUCAAUCUGUGAUAGGAUAGAUCCAAGCUAUUGGGUCAUUAUCUUGGAAAGCAAAAAAGAAAAAAGGGAGAGAGAGAGAAUGAUUAGGGACACGGUUGGUGGGGGGGCGGAGUUGAUGGGCCGUUCCUUCUCUCACUCCCCUCCUGAAACAACACAUAUGGGAAUCGUUUUGUUUUUCAAACGGAUCGGCAGCUGUGCCGUGUCAGGUUGCGUUAGUCAGUCUGACCCAAUACGGCAUCUACAGUGCUUGAGGAAAGAGCUUAAUGGACAGGACUACGGAUGUCAACUUGGAAGCUCUGCAAUCAAGGUAGACUACUGUAUCAGCGCUACUUCCAAUGGCGACUGAUACAAAGGAAACAAUGAAAGGAACAGGGCGGGGAAAGGAAUAAACAUGGAGGGAAGACCUUCGAAACAUGAUGUAGACCAUUCUUUUUACUUCCUUUGACAACCACACUGAUAGGAAGAGGUGUUGUGUCUCGCCGGCGGUCAGCAGAGCUGGCAGCAAAGUCAGAUAGUGAGGAGGUUGGGGAGGAACGUGGGCCAGUCCUGGGGGCUGGGGAAAGCUCGGACGAGGGCUCUGUAUCGGAGUCAGAGAGGGGGCCAAGGCCAUCUGAUAGUUACGUGCAGCCUCCAGAGUCUGACAGCAGCGAGGCAGAAGAACAGCGGGAGCCUGUUCCCAGUGUGCGCAUGCGCAGAGCUGCCAGACAACAAGAACAAUUAAGGAAACAGGGUCGACUUGGGAGUAAGGCUUGGAGAUGAUUGGCCCCUCCCAUAAGAUAUAAAAGAAGAGCGAACGGGACGUGAGCUUUUGCAGGAAGCAAUAGUUCAUCUGGACGAUUCAAGAUUUGAAAAUUCUGUUUGUGACUCUGUAAAGUUUGGCCUUGCCCUGCAUCCCUCUGGCAGCAUUCCACGUGAGAUAGGAAUUUGCCUGCCUCAGAGUUCUGCAUUCAAAGGGUGCGUUACUUGGAACGCUGACAACAACCCUGUUAUAUCGUAUCUGGAGACAAGGAAGAAGAAAGCCAGUAUCCUCCCUAGGAAAGCAGAGUUAACACACAUCAUCCGCUUGGAAUAUUUUGCAAUACCAAAUUGCAAUGUUGUAAUUUGCGGCUCAUCCUUUUCCCCUCGAGGACCAAAAGAAUGCAAUUGCAAAAACAAUUGUUAAUAAGGAUAGAUAAAUCUGUCUCUUUUGACUGGACUCCGUUUCUUAUUUUUCCCCAUCUUUAGGUUUUUUUUCUAUGUGGGGGGGGGAGGAUUUUUGCACAAAAAACCCGGGUUAUUACAAAGCAUGCUUGUGGGGUCUCUGUGGCUUCUAGGGCCUCUGUGGCUCAGACUGGUAAGACAGUCUGUUAUUAACAGCAGCUGCUUGCAAUUACUGCAGGUUCAAGCCCCACCAGGCCCAAGGUUGACUCAGCCUUCCAUCCUUUAUAAGAUUCCAAGGCAAGACUACAUACCUUCACACUGGUUUCCUCUUAUCCUUGAAUAUCCUUUUGAACAUAUUGGAUCUAAAGCAAACGAGAACAAUGUC